CUGUUCUGAAUUUGCUGUAGGUGCCGUUGUCCACUGUGAUUUUACUUCCUGAGCAGAAAGCCAGUCCUCGCUCCCUCCACCUGUAGAUGAACACAACAGCCCCUCUGUGACCUCUGACCUCUGUAGAGCGCCGUCACUGUUUUCACCAGCGUGGGCGGGUCUUACCGAUGGAAGAUGAAGACGAGGAGGAUGAGGAUGAGGGACAGCAGGAAGAGUGGGGCGUUCAUGGCGCUGAGUAUCUGGGGGGCGUUGGUGGUGAUGGACUGGACUCCGGUGCACCAGGCCACAGAGUAGAGCCAGGGCUGACUGAUCACAUACAGCUCCUCUAGAGGGAGCCGGCUGCCUGACGUCUGCUGGAGAUCAGGGUCCAUUUCCUGGACCAGAGAACGCAGGUCUGAGGGCAACCACAGCACCUGAU